UUUUUGAUUAAUAAUUUAAAGUCUAAUCUGCCCACUGAUAAUAUAUUAAAGGGCUGCAGUAUUUUGACUGUACAAAGGUAGCAUAAUCAAUAGUCUCUUAAUUGGUGACUUGUAUGAAGGAUUUAAUGAGAUAUAUACUGUCUCUUUUUAAUUUAUAAAAUUUAAUUUUUUAGUUAAAAAGCUAAAAUAAAUUUAAAAGACGAGAAGACCCUAUAGAGUUUAAUAUUUAAUUAAAUUGGAAUUAUUUAUAAAAUUUAAAGUUUUAAUUUAUAAUAAAUAUUUUGUUGGGGUGAUAAAAAAAUUAAAAGAACUUUUUUUAUAGAUUUACAUUAAUAAGUGAAUAAAUGAUCCGUAAUUUACGAUUAAAAGAAAAAAUUACCUUAGGGAUAACAGCGUAAUUUUUUUUUUUAGUUCAAAUAAGAAAAAAAGUUUGCGACCUCGAUGUUGGAUUAAGAUAAAAUUUAAAUGCAAAAGUUUAAAAUUUUUGAUCUGUUCGAUCAUUAAAAUCUUACA
rnacentral:rRNA from 1 species